AGUCUUCCCUCGACGGCCACAUCUAUUGGAGUCCACAUUCUCGUUGUCUCGCCUUCAAAAAAUGGACAAAGUGUUUCGGUGUAUGUUUUUGGCGGUGGGAGGAAGCCAGAGUACCUGGGGGGAACCCACGCAGUCACGAGGAGAACAUGCAAACUCCACACAGACAGAUCCCGAGCCCGGGAUUGAACCCAUGACUACUCAGGACCUCGUAUUGUGAGGCACAUGCACUAACCCCUGUACCACCGUGUUGCCCUAGCUCGUUUUGGUGCAGGAUAAAGGAGGAAUAAUGUGCAGGCAGGAGGCUGCAGAGCAUCCGGAGUAGGACCACCAGACCGAGGAAGAGGUUUUAUCCGGAAGCUGUUAAACUGCUGAACUCUGAUGGUGUUCUGUAGAAAAGAAUAUCAAUCUCCCAACUGUCCUUAAUAUGAUGAGCAUACAUUUUUUUUUUUUACAUUUUAGAUCAGGGUUCUCAGACACACAGCCCGCAGGCCAAUUGCGGCCCGCGAGACUUUAUUUUGCGGCCCCCACCAUAAUAUGAAAGUUUAAUGUUAGUGCGGCCCCCGAGUUUUAUAUGAAUGGCGCUUGACAGCGUUGUGUUAUUUGGGUCCAAAAUUACUCUUUCAACGUUCUGGGUUGCCUACCCCUGCAUUAGUGGAAAAGCGGCAAAUGAGUGAAAGCGACAGAGACAUCGCCAUGGAUACCAGGGUUUUCUUACGUGCCUGUCUGCAGUCACACGGCGACACCUGUCCGUAAGUAAUAACAGUCCCUGAUAACCUGGACCAAGUCAAAAUGUUUAUUUUUUUAUUUUUUUAUUAUUUAAUUUGCAUUGCCUCACAUUUCUUGAUUCUCAUUUUGUUCAUUUAUAUUUUGAUUUUAUUUUGUGUUGAAAACAAAAAUAAAGACAUUUAAAAGGU